UUUUUUUUUUCUUUCUCUUUCUGUUGUUCUUCAACUCUUUUCCAUCAAAAAAAAAGAGAGGAGCGAUGGU
rnacentral:ribozyme from 13 species